rfam:Rattus norvegicus chromosome 1, whole genome shotgun sequence.
GUCGGCUACGGGGACAUGGCACCUGUCACCGUGGGUGGCAAGAUCGUGGGCUCUCUGUGUGCCAUUGCAGGCGUGCUCACCAUCUCUCUGCCGGUGCCUGUCAUCGUCUCCAAC